ACAUCCUCAGGCUUUUUAUCUGGGGACAGAAUCUCACUCAGUUGCUAGAUUGCCCAGAAUGGACUUCAACUCUUGGUCUUCCUGCCUCAGCCUCCCAGAGUGCUGGCAUUACAGGCGUGCCCACCACGUCCUGCUGCCACUUGCGUUUUAGGAGAACUAGGACUGCCUACGGGAGGAGAUGGCUUGGAGCCGAGAGGGAAUGGGAAAUGCCUGGUCGGACAGGGCUGCGAGCACCAAUGAAAAUGCACUGGUGGUGUGGGCAGCAGGGUGAAAAAGUUAUUUCAGCUCAGCAGGGCCGCAGUCUCCUGCUCCGGUGACCAGGUACAGCAGGAGUUUCCACUCAGGUACAAGGUACUCUUCUGUGCAUCCUUGUCUAAAUCAUCACCCUUUACUGCCUGACGUCUAUGCUGCUUCUAACGCCUCAGUGAACAAUCUGGCUGCAAUGACUAAUUUUGUACUUAGUGUUAUUUUGCACAGGUGCAAAU